rnacentral:rRNA from 1 species
AGGACGAACGCUGGCGGCGUGCUUAACACAUGCAAGUCGAACGGAAAGGCCCUGCUUUUGUGGGGUGCUCGAGUGGCGAACGGGUGAGUAACACGUGAGUAACCUGCCCUUGACUUUGGGAUAACUUCAGGAAACUGGGGCUAAUACCGGAUAGGAGCUCCUGCUGCAUGGUGGGGGUUGGAAAGUUUCGGCGGUUGGGGAUGGACUCGCGGCUUAUCAGCUUGUUGGUGGGGUAGUGGCUUACCAAGGCUUUGACGGGUAGCCGGCCUGAGAGGGUGACCGGCCACAUUGGGACUGAGAUACGGCCCAGACUCCUACGGGAGGCAGCAGUGGGGAAUAUUGCACAAUGGGCGGAAGCCUGAUGCAGCAACGCCGCGUGCGGGAUGACGGCCUUCGGGUUGUAACCGCUUCGCCUGUGACGAAGCGUGAGUGACGGUAAUGGGUAAAGAAGCACCGGCUAACUACGCGCCAGCAGCCGC